rnacentral:rRNA from 1 species
GAUGAACGCUGGCGGCGUGCCUAAUACAUGCAAGUCGAGCGAACGGACGAGAAGCUUGCUUGUCUGAUGUUAGCGGCGGACGGGUGAGUAACACGUGGAUAACCUACCUAUAAGACUGGGAUAACUUCGGGAAACCGGAGCUAAUACCGGAUAAUAUUUUGAACCGCAUGGUUCAAAAGUGAAGGACGGUCUUGCUGUCACUUAUAGAUGGAUCCGCGCUGCAUUAGCUAGUUGGUAAGGUAACGGCUUACCAAGGCAACGAUGCAUAGCCGACCUGAGAGGGUGAUCGGCCACACUGGAACUGAGACACGGUCCAGACUCCUACGGGAGGCAGCAGUAGGGAAUCUUCCGCAAUGGGCGAAAGCCUGACGGAGCAACGCCGCGUGAGUGAUGAAGGUCUUCGGAUCGUAAAACUCUGUUAUUAGGGAAGAACAUAUGUGUAAGUAAAUGUGCACAUCUUGACGGUACCUAAUCAGAAAGCCACGGCUAACUACGUG